rnacentral:rRNA from 1 species
AUUGAACGCUGGCGGCAUGCCUUACACAUGCAAGUCGAACGGCAGCGCGGGAGCAAUCCUGGCGGCGAGUGGCGAACGGGCGAGUACUAUAUCGGAACGUGCCCAGUAGUGGGGGAUAGCCCGGCGCAAGCCGGAUUAAUACCGCAUACGACCUACGGGUGAAAGGGGGGGAUCGCAAGACCUCUCGCUAUUGUAGCGGCCGAUAUCAGAUUAGGUAGUUGGGUGGGUAAAGGCCUACCAAGCCUGCGAUCUGUAGUUGGUCUGAGAGGACGACCAGCCACACUGGGACUGAGACACGGCCCAGACUCCUACGGGAGGCAGCAGUGGGGAAUUUUGGACAAUGGGCGCAAGCCUGAUCCAGCAAUGCCGCGUGCAGGAAGAAGGCCUUCGGGUUGUAAACUGCUUUUGUCAGGGAAGAAAUCCUCUAGGCUAAUACCUUGGGGGGAUGACGGUACCUGAAGAAUAAGCACCGGCUAACUACGUGCCAGCCGCCGCGGUAAAAC